rnacentral:tRNA from 1 species
GCCUGACUGGCUCAGUCAGUAGAGCAAGUGACUCUUGAUCUCCACGUUGUGAGUUUGAGCCCCAUGUUGGGUG